rnacentral:rRNA from 1 species
AUUGAACGCUGGCGGCAGGCCUAACACAUGCAAGUCGAGCGGAUGACGGGAGCUUGCUCCUUGAUUCAGCGGCGGACGGGUGAGUAAUGCCUAGGAAUCUGCCUGGUAGUGGGGGACAACGUUUCGAAAGGAACGCUAAUACCGCAUACGUCCUACGGGAGAAAGCAGGGGACCUUCGGGCCUUGCGCUAUCAGACGAGCCUAGGUCGGAUUAGCUAGUAGGUGAGGUAAUGGCUCACCUAGGCGACGAUCCGUAACUGGUCUGAGAGGAUGAUCAGUCACACUGGAACUGAGACACGGUCCAGACUCCUACGGGAGGCAGCAGUGGGGAAUAUUGGACAAGGGGCGAAAGCCUGAUCCAGCCAUGCCGCGUGUGUGAAGAAGGUCUUCGGAUUGUAAAGCACUUUAAGUUGGGAGGAAGGGCAGUAAGCUAAUACCUUGCUGUUUUGACGUUACCGACAGAAUAAGCACCGGCUAACUCUGCGCCAGCAGCCGCCGUAACAC